AUUCAGCCUAAACAGCUCCUGCUGGCCUAUUUAUGAAAAAAAAAAAAAAGCUUUUUGUCACUGGUUUUGAUUAUUACUGAUCGUUUACUUGGUGGUGUACUGAUGAGGUGUUCCCUCUGACCAGUUUGCUUCUUAGGAAUAAAUCUGAGCUUGCAGCAGUUGACCUAAAACCGAGCCAGGAAAUCUGGGAUAGCUUCAGAGGGUUUGGGGUUGUAGCUCAAGCUCGUGGAUGGGAUGCGUUGAUAGCUGGAGAUGUGUCUCUCAAAACCUGCUUCUCCAAAUCUCAAAAUACAUCUUAAAUCUAUAACGAGAAAUAAAGCUCUGCAUUGUCUGUGACACACCAGCAAUCUUCAAAA